GUUGUUACAAGUCCCAAAGUUCAACAGAGGAUGAAAACCAGGGCAGAAUCAAAAUUCUAGGAGAAACCAGAUUUCCAUGGUUUUUAUGUUUCACAUGGUUUUACUAUAUUUGUGGGUGUUUUUUUAGCUCCAACGUUAAUAUUGGCUUGGGUGGCUCUUACCCACACCCCCUGCUUCCUGACACUCUAGCCUCUGAAAUCCUUCCCCAGCCUUCCAUAAGUUACUAAUGGAUACCGAUGCCUUGACUACGGUUUGUGUUUUCUCCAGAUACUCAUAAAGCUCUCAGACAUUCUCUGGCAUUCAAGUGUUGUAAAAGGGCUUGAGCAGUGGGAGCCAUCUGACUCCAGGAACGAUGGAGGGGGCUGGCAUGAAGCAGCUGAUCCUGCCUCUGCCAGACUGAUUCUGAUGAUGCUCUCUGGAGACCAGAAGAAGCAGGCUGGAGCAGAGCAUAGCUGGGAAGACUUGUCUGCUUCAGUUGUAGCUCCUGACACAGUGCCAGCGUGCUGAGAGCCACAGGAAGGCACUGGGGGACAGGGUCAGCUCCGUGGGGAGCUGAGCUGCAUGGUGGCUGUGAGACAACUGGGGGUGCGCUCCUCCUUCUGCAAAGAGGAGAAGGCUGCAGCUGCAGCACACGUUUGUUGCCGUUGCUAAGGUGGAACGUAGCACACCCACGCUAGCCUAAAAGCAAAACAGCACAUGGGAGAUUUCAUACAGCGAGGAGUCUUGCGUUAGAGAGUGUUGCUUUGCAUCAGGUGCUGUCUCUCCAUAUAACUGAAUCAGGUUGCACGAAUCCCAAAAAGAUAACACUGUGCAUGCAGCUUCCCUGAUUUUUUUUGGAGAUAGCUAUGCCAUCCAGCUAGGCGUGCAUUUGCACUACUUCGUCUUGUGUAAUGCUCCCUCUUCUGCUGCUGAGAAAGGCCUGCAGUGCCUCUGCUUGAUGAUGUUUUCAGGAAGCAGGAUUGUGCAGCACGAGGCAGUUCUGGUGCUUUAAUGCCUGCUGAGAGAAAGCUUAGGCGGUUCUGCUUUCCUUUCUGAGCCAGGUAUACAAAGCACAUCCUGCUGUAAUAAAAGAGCUGCAUGCUUUUAACCACUUCCUCUAACAUCACUGUGACCAUUUUCCUCUCUUUGUGCCCAGCGAUACUGCAUGUCCCUCUAGAGCUGUGACCCAUCUCUGACUUGUGUAUUGGGUCUAGGUGCUCCAAAAGCAAUAGGUCAUGCAUUUCGACAGCUGUGUAUGAGUCCCUCAUUUAUGCUUUCCAAGGCACACAUUUAGUCUUUAAAUUAGGCAAGUGUUUUAUUGCCACUACUAGCCACUGAUUUGUUAUUUUAUACUGAUUUACUGUUCUUCAGAGUGCCAUUGAUCACUGUCGGGGGUCAGCAAGUGAAGCUGCAGCAGGCAUUAAUCACAUACACAAGCCCAUGUACAGGAGGCAGCAACGGCUGCGACUGGCAGGAAAAUGCUUGAAAGUGACAUAUAAGCCUUGGUGCCUAAAGCAGAGGGUGUCUGUGGCUGUGAUUUGUCAAAGUGACUGUGAGGGCUGUCUCCCUCAGCGAGAAACGCAGUUGCCAGAUCUCCAUCUGUGUUCCUGGACUCCCCUGACGUAUGUAUCCUAACGCUCACAGAAGCCAUCCAUACGCAGAAGUCACAGCGCAGCAGCAACUUGAUGGUUAUAGCAUGGAGCCUAAUCGUGUCUUGCACUGAGCCAAUCCAUCCUCCCUGGAGGCACCUACCAGCCCAGCAGCCAUCCUGCAAGUACAGCCCAGGGUGAAAGGGUACCACUGCCUGCAUCAACAGAAUCUUUCCCCUCCAUCACAGCUGGCAGAACAAAGGUCUGUGCCCACUCCCCUCUGCACAGUGGAAGCUGCAGCCACCUAUGAAACAGUACCCACUGGUGAGAGGUGGUGCAUCUUGUGAGGCAUUUAGAGAGACACCCAUGCCGACUGAGCCUCCAGUGCCUGCAGACUGGCUGCCUGCCUUUGGCCAGGAUGUGCCAAGGAUCAGCUGAGGCCUCACAGAUUGCCUUGACACAUUUCUCAGUGUGGUCUUGCACUCCAUCCUCUCCCUCCUCCUCCCUAGCCCCAACCCUGCCUGCUGCAGUCUUUCACAAAAUCCAUAGAAAUACAAUUAUCAUGGAGA